AUAAAAUUGCCAUUGAAACUGGGAGACUUGAGUAUGUUUGAGGUAGGCGGAAUGCGUNNNNUAGCGGUGAAAUGCAUAGAUAUCACGCAGAACUCCGAUUGCGAAGGCAGCUUGCCAAGCCAUAACUGACACUGAAGCACGAAAGCGUGGGUAUCAAACAGGAUUAGAUACCCUGGUAGUCCACGCAGUAAACGAUGAUUACUAGGAGUUUGCGAUAAAAUGUAAGCUCUACAGCGAAAGCGUUAAGUAAUCCACCUGGGGAGUACGCCGGCAACGGUGAAACUCAAAGGAAUUGACGGGGGCCCGCACAAGCGGAGGAACAUGUGGUUUAAUUCGAUGAUACGCGAGGAACCUUACCCGGGUUUGAACGCAGUCCGACCGCCGAUGAAAGUCGGCUUCUAGCAAUAGCGGAUUGCGAGGUGCUGCAUGGUUGUCGUCAGCUCGUGCCGUGAGGUGUCGGCUUAAGUGCCAUAACGAGCGCAACCCUUGCCGUUAGUUACUAACAAGUUAUGUUGAGGACUCUAGCGGGACUGCCAGCGUAAGCUGUGAGGAAGGCGGGGAUGACGUCAAAUCAGCACGGCCCUUACAUCCGGGGCGACACACGUGUUACAAUGGUGUGGACAAAGAGCAGCCACUUGGCGACAAGGAGCUAAUCUCCAAACCACGUCUCAGUUCGGAUCGGAGUCUGCAACUCGACUCCGUGAAGCUGGAUUCGCUAGUAAUCGCGCAUCAGCCAUGGCGCGGUGAAUACGUUCCCGGGCCUUGUACACACCGCCCGUCAAGCCAUGGGAGCCGGGGGUACCUGAAGUCCGUAACCGCGAGGAUCGGCCUAGGGUAAAACUGGUGACUGGGGCUAAGUCGUAACAAGGUAACCA
rnacentral:rRNA from 1 species